GAUGAACGCUGGCGGCGUGCUUAACACAUGCAAGUCGAACGGAAAGGCCCAAGCUUGCUUGGGUACUUGAGUGGCGAACGGGUGAGUAACACGUGGGUGAUCUGCCCUGCACUUCGGGAUAAGCCUGGGAAACUGGGUCUAAUACCGGAUAGGACCACUUCUUGGAUGUUGUGGUGGAAAGUUUUUUCGGUGUGGGAUGAGCUCGCGGCCUAUCAGCUUGUUGGUGGGGUAAUGGCCUACCAAGGCGUCGACGGGUAGCCGGCCUGAGAGGGUGUACGGCCACAUUGGGACUGAGAUACGGCCCAGACUCCUACGGGAGGCAGCAGUGGGGAAUAUUGCACAAUGGGCGCAAGCCUGAUGCAGCGACGCCGCGUGGGGGAUGACGGCCUUCGGGUUGUAAACUCCUUUCGCUAGGGACGAAGCGUUUUGUGACGGUACCUGGAGAAGAAGCACCGGCUAACUACGU
rnacentral:rRNA from 1 species